UACUCGAGUGGCGAACGGGUGAGUAACACGUGGGCGAUCUGCCCUGCACUCCGGGAUAAGCUUGGGAAACUGGGUCUAAUACCGGAUAGGAGCCAUCUUUAGUGUGGUGGUUGGAAAGUUUUUUCGGUGUAGGAUGAGCUCGCGGCCUAUCAGCUUGUUGGUGGGGUAAUGGCCUACCAAGGCGGCGACGGGUAGCCGGCCUGAGAGGGUGUACGGCCACAUUGGGACUGAGAUACGGCCCAG
rnacentral:rRNA from 1 species